CGUAACAAGGUCUCCGUAGGUGAACCUGCGGAGGGAUCAUUACACAAAUAUGAAGGCGGGCUGGAACCUCUCGGGGUUACAGCCUUGCUGAAUUAUUCACCCUUGUCUUUUGCGUACUUCUUGUUUCCUUGGUGGGUUCGCCCACCACUAGGACAAACAUAAACCUUUUGUAAUUGCAAUCAGCGUCAGUAACAAAUUAAUAAUUACAACUUUCAACAACGGAUCUCUUGGUUCUGGCAUCGAUGAAGAACGCAGCGAAAUGCGAUAAGUAGUGUGAAUUGCAGAAUUCAGUGAAUCAUCGAAUCUUUGAACGCACAUUGCGCCCUUUGGUAUUCCAAAGGGCAUGCCUGUUCGAGCGUCAUUUGUACCCUCAAGCUUUGCUUGGUGUUGGGCGUCUUGUCUCUAGCUUUGCUGGAGACUCGCCUUAAAGUAAUUGGCAGCCGGCCUACUGGUUUCGGAGCGCAGCACAAGUCGCACUCUCUAUCAGCAAAGGUCUAGCAUCCAUUAAGCCUUUUUUUCAACUUUUGACCUCGGA
rnacentral:rRNA from 1 species